AUGAGUUGGAAUGUGCGCAUGCUGAACUCGCCGGUGAAAAGGGAAGCAGUACGAGAGGUAGCGGCGGCCCAUAAAACUGCGAUCCUAUGCCUCCAGGAGACGAAGCUAGAUGAUUGGUCACCAGAGAUCGUUCGCGACAUCGGUGGAGGCAUGAUGCAGGGAUGCACUGUGCUGUCGGCCAUCGGCACACGCGGUGGAGCUGCCAUCUUAUGGAACAAGAAUGUAGUCACCAUAGCCACUCAUGCCAUUGGGAAAUUUGCGAUCACAGCAAAGGUCACCCUCGUCUGCAGCCCCUCUUCUUUAUGGCUCACUACGGUGUAUGGACCGGCCGACGACGCGGGCAAGGACGAUUUCCUCUCCGAAUUAGCUAGGACUGCACCACCCGCUGCUGAGCCCUGGCUCAUCAAUGGAGAUUUCAACUUGAUCUACGAGGCGCGAGACAAGAACAACCACAAUCUAAAUAGGAGGCUUAUGGGCCGUUUUAGAGCAGCGACCGACGGGGCAGGCCUUCGUCAGAUCAAGUGUAACAACCGUAGGUUCACGUGGAGUAGCGAAAGAGAAAAUCCUACACUAGUUAGCAUGGACAAGUUCUUCUGCUCCUCGCCCUGGGAAGCCUUGUUCCCGCGCGCGGUGCUGAUGGUUGUGUCAACUGCGUGCUCCGAUCACUACCCGCUUUUGCUGACGGACGCUUCUGCUCCUCGUCGACGGGGAGGAUUCAAAUUUGAAUCCUUCUGGACGCGGCUACCACGCUUCCACGACACGGUUAUGGCCGCUUGGUCACGCCCGACGGCUACCACCUGCGCCUUCGCCCGACUAUGCACCAAAAUGAGUCGGGUGGCCAAGGACCUGAGAAUCUGGAGCAACAGCCUGAUCGGGGACACGAGGAUUUAG
rnacentral:rRNA from 1 species